rnacentral:rRNA from 1 species
AUUGAACGCUGGCGGCAGGCCUAACACAUGCAAGUCGAACGGUAGCACAGAGAGCUUGCUCUCGGGUGACGAGUGGCGGACGGGUGAGUAACGUCUGGGAAACUGCCCGAUGGAGGGAGAUAACUACUGGAAACGGUAGCUAAUACCGCAUAACGUCGCAAGACCAAAGUGGGGGAACUUCGGGCCUCACACCAUCGGAUGGGCCCAGAUGGGAUUAGCUAGUAGGUGGGGUAAUGGCUCACCUAGGCGACGAUCCCUAGCUGGUCUGAGAGGAUGACCAGCCACACUGGAACUGAGACACGGUCCAGACUCCUACGGGAGGCAGCAGUGGGGAAUAUUGCACAAUGGGCGCAAGCCUGAUGCAGCCAUGCCGCGUGUAUGAAGAAGGCCUUCGGGUUGUAAAGUACUUUCAGCGGGGAGGAAGGCGGUGAAGUUAAUAACUUCACCGAUUGACGUUACCCGCAGAAGAAGCACCGGCUAACUCCGUGCCAGCAGCCGCCGUAA